rnacentral:rRNA from 1 species
GAUGAACGCUGGCGGCGUGCCUAAUACAUGCAAGUCGAACGAAUCUUCUUCGGAAGAUGAGUGGCGAACGGGUGAGUAAUACAUAGGUAACCUGCCCCUGUGCGGGGGAUAACAGGAGGAAACUCCUGCUAAUACCGCAUAGCCAUGAGCACCGCAUGGAGCUCAUGCCAAAUAUCCUUCAGGGGAUAGCGCAGGGAUGGACCUAUGGCGCAUUAGCUAGUUGGCGGGGCAACGGCCCACCAAGGCAACGAUGCGUAGCCGGCCUGAGAGGGCGGACGGCCACAUUGGGACUGAGACACGGCCCAGACUCCUACGGGAGGCAGCAGUAGGGAAUUUUCGGCAAUGGGGGAAACCCUGACCGAGCAACGCCGCGUGAGCGAAGAAGGCCUUCGGGUCGUAAAGCUCUGUUGUAAAGGAAGAACGUCGCAUGCAGGAAAUGGUGUGCGAGUGACGGUAC